GAUGAAGAACGCAGCGAAAUGCGAUACGUAGUGUGAAUUGCAGAAUUCAGUGAAUCAUCGAAUCUUUGAACGCACAUUGCGCCCUUUGGUAUUCCAAAGGGCAUGCCUGUUCGAGCGUCAUUUGUACUCUCAAGCUUUGCUUGGUGUUGGGCGUCUUGUCUCCAGUCCGCUGGAGACUCGCCUUAAAGUCAUUGGCAGCCGGCCUACUGGUUUCGGAGCGCAGCACAAGUCGCACUCUUUUCCAGCCAAGGUCAGUGUCCAACAAGCCUUUUUUCAACUUUUGACCUCGGAUCAGGUAGGGAUACCCGCUGAACUUAAGCAUAUCAAUAAGCGGAGGA
rnacentral:misc_RNA from 1 species